AAGGCAGGCUGUGUGGCAUUAGCUAUCGACUCGUUACUAGCCAUUUUGUACUAAACAAUGUCUUCUCCCAGUGGCGGAGAGGGGAUUCCAGCUCUCGACAUAAAGCAAAGCAACCUUUAAACCCCCCGUCAGUCGCCACCUCUGUUUUUAAAGUUUCCCAAUGUCAAGAGGAUUCAAAAGCAUGUAUAUAAUGUAUGAUUACUUUGUUCUUUUU
rnacentral:misc_RNA from 1 species